GUGAUGUUGUACAAAGGUGAUAGGAGGAUCUGAUUAUUCGGUUAUUCCGAUCCGUGGGAAGAAGGAGUGGAGGGGAAGUGGCAGAUUAUGGCGGCAGCCUCCCCUUCUUCGUGCAUCUUCUGUCAGAUCGGUCGGUCUUCCACCACCACUACCCUCCUCCACACCGAUGACAAGGUUGUUGCGUUUCGUGACAUUAAUCCUUCAGCCUUCAGGCAAUUAGGAUGCUUAUCUGCUAGGAAGGCGAGCUUAGAAUAAGCGUCUAGAGCAUAGUUGUCUGUAGAUCUUGCAGAUCGAGUCUCUAGAAGCAUUUGAACAAUUUUUAUAUUUAAAAUAUGAGUUGUCGGAACAGAAUAUUUGACUUGAUGUUAUCUGUAAUAAUUUGUUUGCUAUUUGAGGUACGGUAUGGGACGUAUUAUAUAAAUUGAAUAGUGAUAAUAAUUGUUAUGGAAACUUCUGGACAA